AGUCAAGCUAAGCCUCCUCCCUUUGAAGAGUCAAUCCGGACCCUACCUCCUGAACAGCCUCCAGCGUUUCUCACUCCUUUCCCCAAGGAAACUGCAUAUAGCGAAGCUUACAAAACAGGCGGCGUUGCGGAAACGGGGAUCGGAAUGGAAUGGAGGUUGGUAACAACCAGUAUUUCCUGUGGAGGUUCUGAGUUCGGAAUACUUACUGGAAUGAGUCUGAGUCUAUCUGACAGAGCUAAAAGUAUGAAUGUGUCCACCAUCUUUCUUCCUCUGCCAGUUCCAGGAGACGGUUCGGUUGCUGCUCACUUCAAGGGUCUUCUUUAUGCUGAUACCCGGCACUUGAUGAAGAGAAAAAACCAAGAGGCCAGAGAGCUGCAGAGUGGAAUGGAUCUGGGAGACUGAAGGAGGCAGCAGGGGGAGGACGCAGGAGCUGGCAAACCUAGGAGGUACACACAGCAUGUGGUAGUGGCCACUGGUGGAAACUUCUGUGGGUCUGGAAGGCCAGACCUGAGGACUAGGAUAUGAAACUUCAUGCUCAUAACUGCAAUCCAGGAGCUAUCAGGCAGUGUUUGCGUGGCAGGAUUCAGAACUGGCUGCAAGCCCAAUUGGUGUGAAGAAGACCCAGGCCUGUAAGUAGCCUUGCUGAUGGUCAUGCCAGCCUCCUCUGGAACUGCAGUGAGCCCUGACACCAAUCCGAAAGAGGGAGGAGGCAGCUCUCUCCUUCCCCAGGAUCUGGCCAGCACUGCAGGACCAAGGACAUAUUCUGAGAACAGUCGCUGCAUUGUAUUCAGAACUUCCUCCCUUAGCCCUGAUGACUUUGUUCUGGGUCACGUUCCACAUGCUCAGAUCCUUUCCUCCCAGGAAGUUUCUCACCCUGUCCCACCCCCUUUCUCUCCCCUCAACACAAGCAUCAUGCAGUCUGACAGCUAGCAGGGAAGCUGGAGAGGCUGAGCCCCAGCAGCGGGCCAGCUCGGCUUCCCUUCCCAGGACGCUCUUCUGCCUCCAAUCGACAAGAACUCCAGGCAAGCCGAAACCCCAGAAGUAUUGAUAAUUCCAAGGAAGAGUCCAGAAAAAGGACAGGGAAGGUAUAAGGCAGAAUCAAGGGCCCUUUCAGUCCCACAGAGCAGUGGCCACAAGAUGGCUUUGGAUCAACGAGUGCUUCUCACCAUCAUACAGUGUGUCUAAACCAUAGAGGUGGGGGUGGGCAUCGACGGCUCAGAUAUGAUAAGCAAUUUAUAAUAUUCACACUGUCACAUAAGACCAGGUAAACCAGACUUGGGUUUUGCAAUUUAUAUAGCCAAGUUCAUGUCCUUGUGUCAGCUCUGUCACUCUUCUACCUGUUACUACCCAGUCCCUUUGAGAUAUGAAAAAGGUUUGUUUUCCAGCAUCCCUUGGCCCUUCUUUCUCUAGAUGACACAUUUAAACUUUGCCUUCAUUUUUUAAUGUUCAACUCCACCCUGGCUCUUAUGGAGCUAUUAUUAUUUUGUAUGAAACAAAAGGAUAAACACUGAAUUUUGACACAUCCUCUGUGUAAUGCUGAUUAACACAUACA